GACGAACGCUGGCGGCGUGCCUAAUACAUGCAAGUCGAGCGGACCGAGCGGAAGCUUGCUUCUGUUCGGUUAGCGGCGGACGGGUGAGUAACACGUGGGUAACCUGCCCGUAAGACCGGGAUAACUCCGGGAAACCGGGGCUAAUACCGGAUAACACCGAAGACCGCAUGGUCUUUGGUUGAAAGGUGGCUUUUGCUACCACUUACGGAUGGGCCCGCGGCGCAUUAGCUAGUUGGUGAGGUAACGGCUCACCAAGGCGACGAUGCGUAGCCGGCCUGAGAGGGUGACCGGCCACACUGGGACUGAGACACGGCCCAGACUCCUACGGGAGGCAGCAGUAGGGAAUCUUCCGCAAUGGACGAAAGUCUGACGGAGCGACGCCGCGUGAGCGAAGAAGGUCUUCGGAUCGUAAAGCUCUGUUGUUAGGGAAGAAGAAGUACCGUUCGAAUAGGGCGGUACGGUGACGGUACCUAACGAGAAAGCCCCGGCUAACUACGUGCCAGCCGCCGCGGUAAGAC
rnacentral:rRNA from 1 species